rnacentral:misc_RNA from 1 species
AGUCGUAACAAGGUUUCCGUAGGUGAACCUGCGGAAGGAUCAUUACUAAAUCCAACCAAUUAAUACCAUGUUGAAACGUACGUGUGCGUGUUGUUUUGUGGCGUUGCGUGUGAUAUGAUGAAAGAGAGCGAGAAAUCGUUCUUGAUCCUCUCUCACUCUACCUACACAAACACACAUACUCUAACAUAUACACCCUAUGAUGUCGUACCAAUGACAGUUAUUUAUAAAAUUAUUAUUAUUACACAAAAAAAGCAUAACUUUUAACAAUGGAUCUCUUGGCUCUU